AUUGAACGCUGGCGGCAGGCUUAACACAUGCAAGUCGAGCGGAGUGAUGGUGCUUGCACUAUCACUUAGCGGCGGACGGGUGAGUAAUGCUUAGGAAUCUGCCUAUUAGUGGGGGACGACAUCUCGAAAGGGAUGCUAAUACCGCAUACGUCCUACGGGAGAAAGCAGGGGAUCACUUGUGACCUUGCGCUAAUAGAUGAGCCUAAGUCGGAUUAGCUAGUUGGUGGGGUAAAGGCCUACCAAGGCGACGAUCUGUAGCGGGUCUGAGAGGAUGAUCCGCCACACUGGGACUGAGACACGGCCCAGACUCCUACGGGAGGCAGCAGUGGGGAAUAUCGGACAAUGGGGGGAACCCUGAUCCAGCCAUGCCGCGUGUGUGAAGAAGGCCUUGUGGUUGUAAAGCACUUUAAGCGAGGAGGAGGCUCUUUUGGUUAAUACCCAAGAUGAGUGGACGUUACUCGCAGAAUAAGCACCGGCUAACUCUGUGCCAGCAGCCGCAGUAA
rnacentral:rRNA from 1 species